AAGAUCUGAGGCUUCUGGAGUGACAAUUACGUGUUGGUUGGGAUGAUGUGCCAUAGCCAGAACAACAUGAAGUGCCCGUGUUGUGCCAACUAAACCACCUUCCUGCAGUGACAUGUGUAAGAGACUGCAAGUUUCAAAAGAGAAGAAAAAGUUGCUUUCCAUGAGAAACUAAAGAUUCGGCAUCUUGCAGGCAGUCAGAGGGACAGAAAACAUGGCUGAAAGAAGACGCACCAGCUUUGUGACAGACCCAAAGACUACAGUUUGACAUAUCAGGAUUACUUCCCCUUCACUGCCUCUGGUCACCUUCUAGAAGGCAACAGUAUUUUCUGCUUAACU
rnacentral:lncRNA from 1 species